GCUCCCAUGGCGUAGUGGUCACUGCGCUCACCUUGCAUGCGGGAGACCCGGGUUCGAUUCCCGGCGGGGUCA
rfam:Asian citrus Psyllid, Diaphorina citri - Florida Strain, whole genome shotgun sequence.